rnacentral:rRNA from 1 species
UUUGGGAGGUAAAAUUUCUCUUAGGGCUAAAUACAGGCGAGAGACCGAUAGCGACCAAGUACCGUGAGGGAAAGAUGAAAAGAACUUUGAAAAGAGAGUCAACCAGUACGUGAAAUUGUUGAAAGGGAAACGAUUGAAGCCGUUCGUACCGCGGGGAAUUCAAUUUCUUAAGUGUUUGCCUUGGGUGACGUUGAGCUUCGCGGCCUUCGUCGCUUUGCGUUAUGGUACUUUUGGGGUGCACUUUUCCGUAUGGGAAGGCCAUAUCCAUUUUGGACGUCAAAAAAAGAACGGAAGAAGGUACCUCCAUU